AUUGAACGCUGGCGGCAUGCCUUACACAUGCAAGUCGAACGGCAGCACGGGUGCUUGCACCUGGUGGCGAGUGGCGAACGGGUGAGUAAUACAUCGGAACGUACCUUAUCGUGGGGGAUAACGCAGCGAAAGCUGUGUUAAUACCGCAUACGCCCUGAGGGGGAAAGCGGGGGAUCGAAAGACCUCGCGCGAUUAGAGCGGCCGAUGCCUGAUUAGCUUGUUGGUGGGGUAAAAGCCCACCAAGGCGACGAUCAGUAGCUGGUCUGAGAGGACGAUCAGCCACACUGGGACUGAGACACGGCCCAGACUCCUACGGGAGGCAGCAGUGGGGAAUUUUGGACAAUGGGGGCAACCCUGAUCCAGCAAUGCCGCGUGAGUGAAGAAGGCCUUCGGGUUGUAAAGCUCUUUUGUCAGGGAAGAAACACCGGCUCUAACACAGUCCGGGAAUGACGGUACCUGAAGAAUAAGCACCGGUUAACUACGUGCCAGCAGCCGCCGUAA
rnacentral:rRNA from 1 species